rnacentral:lncRNA from 1 species
AAAUUUUAAAUAUUUUAUGCUUUGAUGAGAGGAAGGAAGAGAAGACUAUUUAUUCAUGAGGUUGUAGAUGAACAAGGAAAUUAUAUACAAAGGGAUGAUAAUAUUGCAAAUAGUACAAGAAAUUAUCUCUAUGACAAUGGUUCAAAAACCGUUGCAAUAUAUAUGAAAAAAUUGUCAUAUACCUAAUACAAUGACUUAGCAAGCAUCCCAUAUGUGAGCAUAGCCAUAGAUCUAUAGCAACAAUCUUAGCAACGAUUUUGAAAACCAUCAUCGUAGACUCCACAAUGGUUAUUCUCUCUUCUGAUAUGACACCUUUUUUUCCAUUGCAAUGAUUUCUAAUUCAUGCAAUAGAUAUUUGGCAAUGGUUUGAAAUCGUUGUCAGAACCCUAUUCCAAUGACUUUCUUAUAAUAAUAAUGCAA